rnacentral:rRNA from 1 species
AGCGUAGGCGGAUUUUUAAGUGGGAUGUGAAAUACCCGGGCUUAACCUGGGUGCUGCAUUCCAAACUGGAAGUCUAGAGUGCAGGAGAGGAAAGUGGAAUUCCUAGUGUAGCGGUGAAAUGCGUAGAGAUUAGGAAGAACACCAGUGGCGAAGGCGACUUUCUGGACCGAGAUUGACGCUAAAAAAGCGAAAGCCAGGGGAGCAAACG